rnacentral:rRNA from 1 species
UACGGAGGGUGCAAGCGUUAUCCGGAUUCACUGGGUUUAAAGGGUGCGUAGGUGGGCAGGUAAGUCAGUGGUGAAAUCUCCGGGCUUAACCCGGAAACUGCCAUUGAUACUAUCUGUCUUGAAUACCGUGGAGGUGAGCGGAAUAUGUCAUGUAGCGGUGAAAUGCUUAGAUAUGACAUAGAACACCAAUUGCGAAGGCAGCUCACUACACGAAUAUUGACACUGUGGCACGAAAGCGUGGGAGUC